ensembl:snRNA U6 U6 spliceosomal RNA
GUGCUUGCUUCAGCAGCACGUAUACUAAAAUUGGAACGAUACAGAGAAGAUUAGCAUGG